rnacentral:rRNA from 1 species
CUACGGGAGGCUGCAGUGGGGAAUAUUGCGCAAUGGGCGAAAGCCUGACGCAGCAACGCCGCGUGAUCGAUGAAGCUUCAAGGAGUGUAAAGAUCUGUCCUAAGGGAAGAAUGGUUUCAAGUCAAAUAGGCUUGAUUCGUGACGGUACCUUAGAAGAAAGCGCCGGCUAACUUCGUGCCAGCAGCCGCGGUAAUACGGAGGGGCGCAAGCGUUGUCCGGAUUCAUUGGGUGUAAAGGGUGCGUAGGUGGAUUUGUAAGUUGGAAUUUAAAUCCCGCAGCUCAACUGCGGACAUGGUUUCAAAACUGCAAGGCUUGAGUUCGAAAGAGGGGAGUGGAAUUCCUAGUGUAGCGGUGGAAUGCGUAGAUAUUAGGAGGAACACCAGUGGCGAAGGCGGCUCUCUGGUUCGAUACUGACACUAAGGCACGAAAGCGUGGGGAGCAAACAGGAUUAGAUACCCUUGUAGUC